UACUCGAGUGGCGAACGGGUGAGUAACACGUGGGUGAUCUGCCCUGCACUUCGGGAUAAGCCUGGGAAACUGGGUCUAAUACCGGAUAGGAGCCAUUUUUAGUGUGAUGGUUGGAAAGUUUUUUCGGUGUAGGGUGAGCUCGCGGCCUAUCAGCUUGUUGGUGGGGUAAUGGCCUACCAAGGCGGCGACGGGUAGCCGGCCUGAGAGGGUGGACGGCCACAUUGGGACUGAGAUACGGCCCAG
rnacentral:rRNA from 1 species